UUUUUCUCAAACAUGCAAUGAAAUAUUGAUGUUAUGUUCCUUAUAAUAGGCUGCGAAGUAUGACGUUUCAGGUGCGGCUAGGACAAAAGGUCGUUAAUGGAAUUUCAUACACAUCUUGCAGGCCUAGGCCGGCAAAUAAUCCUUUUUAGGGUUCCGUAGCCAAAUGGCAAAAAACGGAAUCCUUAUGGAUUCGUCAUGUCUGUCUGUCUGUCUGUCUGUCCGUCCGUAUGUCACAGCCACUUUUUUGCGAAACUAUAAGAACUAUACUGUUGAAACUUGGUAAGUAGAUGUAUUCUGUGAACCGCAUUAAGAUUUUCACACAAAAAUAGAAAAAAAAAACAAUAAAUUUUGGGGGUUCCCCAUACUUAGAA